GAUGAAGAACGUAGCGAAAUGCGAUAAGUAAUGUGAAUUGCAGAAUUCAGUGAAUCAUCGAAUCUUUGAACGCACAUUGCGCCCCUUGGUAUUCCGAGGGGCAUGCCUGUUCGAGCGUCAUUUUGACCACUCCCGCUUGCGGGGUCUUGGGCCUUCGCCUCUGGGCGGGCCUUAAAAUCAGUGGCGGUGCCGUCCGGCUCUAAGCGUAGUAAUUCUUCUCGCUCUGGAGGUCCGGUCGUGUGCUCGCCAGCAACCCCCAAUUUUUUUCAGGUUGACCUCGGAUCAGGUAGGGAUACCCGCUGAACUUAAGCAUAUCAAUAAGCGGAGGA
rnacentral:misc_RNA from 1 species